rnacentral:rRNA from 1 species
UACGUAGGGUGCAAGCGUUGUCCGGAAUUACUGGGCGUAAAGGGUGCGUAGGCGGUCGUUUAAGUCCGUUGUGAAAUCCCUGGGCUCAACCUGGGAAUGGCAGUGGAUACUGGACGGCUAGAAUGCGGUAGAGGGUAGUGGAAUUCCCGGUGUAGCAGUGAAAUGCGUAGAGAUCGGGAGGAACACCAGUGGCGAAGGCGGCUACCUGGACCAGCAUUGACACUCAAGCACGAAAGCGUGGGGAGCAAACAGG